rfam:Glossina pallidipes unplaced genomic scaffold Scaffold70, whole genome shotgun sequence.
AAUUAUUAACUCAUUCAGUUUACGAACGGUCAUGGCUGCUGGAGCACCAUGCAGGAGGAGAGUGGUCGAAGCAAUGAACGUGUGCGGGGUAGUUUUAGUACGUAGCCGCCAUGGGUGGCGAAUCAUACAUGCUGCUGGUAGGGGCCAGUAUUAUCUUUCGAAGAUUUCUGUCUCUACCUCCA